CCUACGGGUGGCAGCAGUGGGGAAUAUUGCACAAUGGGGGAAACCCUGAUGCAGCGACGCCGCGUGAGUGAAGAAGGAAUUCGUGAUGUAAAGCUCUAUCAGCAGGGAAGAAAAUGACGGUACCUGAGGAAGAAGCCCCGGCUAACGAAGGGCCAGCAGCCGCGGUAAUACGUAGGGGGCAAGCGUGAUCCGGAGUGACUGGGUGUAAAGGGAGCGUAGACGGCAGGGCAAGGCUGGAGUGAAAGGCGGGGGCUCCACCCCCGGACUGCUCUGGAAACUGUACGGCUGGAGUGCAGGAGAGGUAAGUUGACUUCCUCGUGUAGCGGUUACAUGCUUAGAUCUUAG
rnacentral:rRNA from 1 species